rnacentral:rRNA from 1 species
GAUGAACGCUAGCGGCAGGCCUAAUACAUGCAAGUCGAACGGUAACAUGAGUAGCAAUACUUGAUGACGAGUGGCGCACGGGUGCGUAACGCGUAUGCAAUCUACCUUUAACUGGUGAAUAGCCCGAAGAAAUUCGGAUUAAUACACCAUAGUAUUGUUUGUUGGCAUCAACAGACAAUUAAAACUCCGGUGGUUAAAGAUGAGCAUGCGUGACAUUAGCUAGUUGGUGAGGUAAUGGCUCACCAAGGCUACGAUGUCUAGGGGAUCUGAGAGGAUUAACCCCNCACU